AAGUUUGUGUUCCAAGGUAAGAUAACCUGAAAUGAAAAACUCAGGAUCCCUCACGAACAGCCUGACCCUGCUUUCAACCAGGAAGUUCAAGGGAGGCAGGACUUUACGGUCAAAACUGCAAAGCCGAAGCUCAAGACUGUAAGAAGAAAGUGAUCUUCAAAGAAAAGGAUUCACCCAAAUCGAAGAGGGAUAUCGUUUCGCAUCAGGGACACUCGUCUCCACACCUCCUACCUCAAAGUCCUACGCACCUACCCUUCACGUCUCUCCAAAGCAACUGAAUUAAAGCGCCUACUGGCCUUGGCGGCGCAGGGUCCCAAGAUUUUGACUGAUUGGUUGUACGACUAGAGUUGCUGGAGUUCAAGUAUUUUCAUUUUAACUAUUCAACUGAAAGCAGUGCGUUACAACAGAACACGGGUUCCAAAGAAUUUACUGAGAAGAAGCAAAGUAAUACUUGGGAGAACUGAUAAUACACAGGCAUCUCAUGAAAAUCAUCCAACAUAUAGAAGAAUAUAUAGAAUAAAGCAAAAAUCAUCAGAAACUCCACCGUCUUGGAUGACCAUAGUUGAUAUUCUGGAAUGGCUUCUGUUCCGAUUGAACCUUGACUGAUGUAGCACCUAUCACCAAAUUGCUGUUCAGGAAAUAUGUCCUAAAGAAACUCCCAACAGCAGCAAUACAUCAGAGUGGCACCUCUUUACACUGGUUCUUG
rnacentral:lncRNA from 1 species